GUGCUAGUAGUAUACGUGCUUGAGUAUCCUGUCUUUCCAAGUCAGAGGUCCAAUGGGUUUGGCUAGCAUA
rnacentral:tRNA from 1 species